rnacentral:rRNA from 1 species
UACGUAGGGGGCGAGCGUUGUCCGGAUUUAUUGGGCGUAAAGAGCGUGUAGGCGGCCAGGUAGGUCUGCUGUGAAAACUCGAGGCUCAACCUCGAGACGUCGGCGGAAACCAUCUGGCUAGAGUCCGGAAGAGGAGAGUGGAAUUCCUGGUGUAGCGGUGAAAUGCGCAGAUAUCAGGAAGAACACCCGUGGCGAAGGCGGCGUCUCUGGGACGGUACUGACGCUGAGACGCGAAAGCGUGGGGAGCGAAUAGG